rnacentral:rRNA from 1 species
UACGAAGGGUCCAAGCGUUAUCCGGAUUUAUUGGGUUUAAAGGGUGCGUAGGCGGGUUGUUAAGUCAGUGGUGAAAUCUUGCAGCUUAACUGUAAAAUUGCCAUUGAUACUGACGAUCUUGAGUACACUUGAAGUGGGCGGAAUAUGUCAUGUAGAGGUGAAAUUCUUAGAGAUGACAUAGAACACCGAUUGCGAAGGCAGCUCACUAA